GUGGCGUUUGAGACGGCGGGUGGAGUGGGGUGCGCGUCGUGCGGAAAUUGUGAAUAUACUGCUCAGUCUGUGAUUGUGCGGUUGGCAAAGUGUGACAUGUCCGACAUGCUGUUUGCGUGCUCUAGGUGUUUUAGCAGACAUCCAUUUGAGGAACUUUCGCAGGGACAGCAGCUUUGUAAGGAGUGCCGCGGGAGUUUCCCCGUGGUAAAAUGCACCUACUGUCGAUCCGAGUUUCAGCAGGAAAGCAAGGGCAGCACGUCCACCAUCUGCAAGAAAUGCGAGCAGAUGGUGAAGGCGCACGGCAAGCCGACCGCCUGCGACUACUGCAACGUCAUCGCCGCCUUCAUCGGCUCGCGGUGCCAGCGCUGCGCCAACUCGGAGAAACGCUACGGUCCGCCGCAGGCCUGUGAACAGUGCAAACAAAAGUGCGCCUUCGACCGCAAAGACCCCGAGGACAAGAAAAAGGUGGAUGCGGCGUCCGGCGCGGAUCCUUCCGGCUCCUCUCCCGACCAAGUCACGGUGGACGGUAAGCUGCUCUGCUGGCUCUGCACGCUCAGCUACAAGCGCGCUCUAGCCAAAACAAAGUCCACCGACCCCGCCCGCCACACCCACGUGAAACUGGGCAAAAACCAGGAGAAACGCAAACCAAAGUACUACGUGUCGAAGCGGCCGGACCGCCCGGACGUCACCCGCCAGCCGCUGGAGGGCUCCGAGCCCAAGAAGGCGCGCAAGGACGAGCAGUCGGACCAUGUGGUGGCCAUGACGCAGCUGAGGGAGGAGAUCGCCAGCCUGCAGCGCCAGCUGCAGCUCAAAAACCAACAGAUGCUCGGAAAGGACAAGGAGAUCUGCGAGCUGAAGGCCAAGAACCUGCGCAACGAGCAGGACAUCCGACGCAAGAUGAACGAUCAGCAGAAGGCACACGAGGCCAAGGUGGAGACGCUGCAGGGCCGCAUCCGCUCGCUCAGCAAAGAGGUGGCGGCGCUCUCCAAGCGCUCCAAGGCGGGCGGCGGCUCGGCGCUGGCCUCGGCCGACAGCGCCAGCAACAGUCCGCUGGUCUGAGCGGCGCCACGCUCUCAUUAGUGACGGCACGUGACACGUGGCACGUGCAGUGUGCCGCCGGUGUGGUCACGCGGCAAUGACUGCGCCUGUUCACAGGUGGUGGCGGCGGCGGAGCACGGGCGGGCGAGCCAGGCCGAUAUAUCAGCAAAGGCACUGACGCAGUCGUCCAGCACUGUGCGACCGGGAGCGGCCUCCCAGCGAACGCCUCUCGGCUUCUGAGACACCCAGAACGCCUGAAAACCGGCUGCCGGGCGGACAGGGUGCCCCGGUCAGCCGGUCCCGACUCAGAUUGUCAGCUAAAGUCGGGCACAUUCGAACUCAGUCGGACUCGGAACUCACUCAAGAGAGGGCGAAAUGUGCGCGGUAAUGGCAGGCCACAAAUCAAGAGAUCGUCUAUUCGGCGGCCUUGUGCCGAUAUCGAUGCCCGUUUAAGUCGGUGGCCCUCCCCCCCUGGACGAGGCAGUGUACAGUCGGCACUCACUGUCCGAAGGCCGCGAACGAGUUGGCGGCGGCGCGGCAGGCCUGGAGGCAGCCCUGGAGGGUGGAGUCCCGAGCCUGCCGCCACUGGGUCGGCUCCGUGGUGCACGUCCACCCCUCGGGCACUGGUGGUGGGUAGUGCAGUUUUAUGGUACGGAAUGGCGGUCAAAAUGUCGCAAAUUAGAUACGUGCUUUUGUAGGUACUUAUGUAUGUAAUGUUUCGUGGAAUAGUUUGAGCUUUGAGAGCUUACAGCUGUGCCGUCAAUAACUGUGAUAUUUGUUUCGUGACCGUGGCAUUUUACGUGAACGUUAUUACGUAAAUUGUGAUUCUCUGUGAACGGGAUAACAAUAAACUCGUGUCAAUUCUUA
rnacentral:misc_RNA from 1 species